AGCGAACGCUGGCGGCAGGCUUAACACAUGCAAGUCGAGCGGGCAUCUUCGGAUGUCAGCGGCAGACGGGUGAGUAACACGUGGGAACGUACCCUUCGGUUCGGAACAACUCUGGGAAACUGGAGCUAAUACCGGAUACGCCCUUAUGGGGAAAGGUUUACUGCCGAAGGAUCGGCCCGCGUCUGAUUAGCUAGUUGGUGGGGUAACGGCCUACCAAGGCGACGAUCAGUAGCUGGUCUGAGAGGAUGAUCAGCCACACUGGGACUGAGACACGGCCCAGACUCCUACGGGAGGCAGCAGUGGGGAAUAUUGGACAAUGGGCGCAAGCCUGAUCCAGCCAUGCCGCGUGAGUGAUGAAGGCCUUAGGGUUGUAAAGCUCUUUUGUCCGGGACGAUAAUGACGGUACCGGAAGUAUAAGCCCCGGCUAACUUCGUG
rnacentral:rRNA from 1 species